CCUAACACAUGCAAGUCGAACGGUAACAUUUCUAGCUUGCUAGAAGAUGACGAGUGGCGGACGGGUGAGUAAUGCUUGGGAAUUUGCCUUUAGGUGGGGGAUAACAGUUGGAAACGACUGCUAAUACCGCAUAUUAGCUACGGCUAAAAGGGGGCUUCGGCUCUCGCCUUUAGAGAAGCCCAAGUGGGAUUAGAUAGUUGGUGAGGUAAAGGCUCACCAAGUCAGCGAUCCCUAGCUGGUCUGAGAGGAUGAAUCAGCCACACUGGAACUGAGACACGGUCCAGACUCUACGGGAGGCAGCAGUGGGGAAUAUUGCACAAUGGGCGCAAGCCUGAUGCAGCCAUGCCGCGUGUGUGAAGAAGGCCUUCGGGUUGUAAAGCACUUUCAGCGAGGAGGAAAGUUUAGUAGUUAAUACCUGCUAGAUGUGACGUUACUCGCAGAAGAAGGACCGGCUAACUCCGUGCCAGCAGCCGCGGUAAUACGGAGGGUCCGAGCGUUAAUCGGAAUUACUGGGCGUAAAGCGUACGCAGGCGGCCAUUUAAGUCAGAUGUGAAAGCCCCGGGCUCAACCUGGGAACUGCAUUUGAAACUGGAUGGCUAGAGUGCGACAGAGGGUGGUAGAAUUUCAGGUGUAGCGGUGAAAUGCGUAGAGAUCUGAAGGAAUACCAAUGGCGAAGGCAGCCACCUGGGUCGACACUGACGCUCAUGUACGAAAGCGUGGGUAGCAAACAGGAUUAGAUACCCUGGUAGUCCACGCCGUAAACGAUGUCUACUAGCAGCUUGGNGCUUAAGCGCUGUUUUGCGAAGUAACGCGAUAAGUAGACCGCCUGGGGAGUACGGCGCAAGGUUAAAASUCAAAUGAAUUGACGGGGGCCUGUACAAGCGGUGGAGCAUGUGGUUUAAUUCGAUGCAACGCGAAGAACCUUACCAUCUCUUGACAUCAAGAGAAUUUGCUAGAGAUAGCUUAGUGCUUCGGGAAUUUUGAGAUAGGUGCUGCAUGGUUGUUGUCAGCUCGUGUUGUGAAAUGUUGGGUUAAGUCCUGCAACGAGUGCAACCCUUAUCGUUAGUUGUUAGCAGGUUAUGUUGAGAAUUUUAAGGAGACUGCGGGUGAGAAACGGGAGGAAGGUGGGGAUGA
rnacentral:rRNA from 1 species